AAACUGCCAGGGGAUAACUGCUAAAAUCCUGAGAAGAUUAAGUCCCAAAUGGCUCACACAAGAAGGGGCAUUCUUGGUAUUGAACUGAUGAGCAAUCUGGGACCCUAACAGUGCAUUUUGUUCCUUACAGAAGGACCCUUCCUGAGUGCUGGGCAACAGGGCUUCAUGGACCGCGCUUCUAGCAAGGCAAAUGCCUUUGCCCACAGGGGAGUCGGCUCUCCAUUUUCUGCAGAAAAACAACACAGUUGAGGAUUCACCAUGCUGCAGGUUCAGAGAGGCCGGUGAUGGAUCCCCACGUAUCAGGCUGGGUUAGUUAUGUUCACAGAGUACCGCACCAUGUGGACUUUCCCUCUCAGGCUGGGCCAUAGCUCAGAGAUCAUACUCCAUGGUACACACUGGACCCUUCACAUUUUCAAGAAUUAUAAUUUCAAAACCUGCAUCGUUCUGACCAAUCCUCCCGCAAAACACAGAAAACUGAAAGAGCAGCAGUCUCCAUCUAAAAAGCAAUUGCUUCUCUGGAAAAAAGACGUUAUUUCUUUUUUACUUGUAGAAAGUAAGAUCUGUUGAUUUUCAACCAGUUAUACUCUGAAGAAUGAAUCCUUUUUUACAAGUGCUGUGAGCCACGACCACAGGCAGGUUGGCUGUGAGACAGAAGUCUGGGCCGAGGAAGUCCAAGCACUGGGAUGGUAUAAGCCAGAGGAGAGCUUUUGGAUGGAUCCCCCCUUCCUACCAGCAUCACUGAUCCAGGUCAGUGGCAGAAGAGAUGUACCUUGGCUCCCUCCUAGGCAUACAGCUAUCUAGCUGGACACAAGGCCCAGGAGCAUCUAGAGAAAUAAGAUGCUGAACAGAGAUUGAACAUCGUGAUUUAUACCUACACCCA